GAAACUUACAUGGAUUCCCCUAGUAACGGCGAGCGAACCGGGAGCAGCCCAGCUUGAGAAUCGGGCGGCUGUGCCGUCGGAAUUGUAGUCUGGAGAGGCGUCCUCAGCGAUGGACCGGGCCCAAGUCCCCUGGAAAGGGGCGCCUGGGAGGGUGAGAGCCCCGUCCGGCCCGGACCUGGUCGCCCCACGAGGCGCCGUCAACGAGUCGGGUUGUUUGGGAAUGCAGCCCAAAUCGAGCGGUAGACUCCGUCCAAGGCUAAAUACAGGCGAGAGACCGAUAGCGAACAAGUACCGCGAGGGAAAGAUGAAAAGGACUUUGAAAAGAGAGUCAAAGAGUGCUUGAAAUUGCCGGGAGGGAAGCGGAUGGGGGCCGGCGAUGCGCCCCGGCCGUAUG
rnacentral:rRNA from 1 species